rnacentral:lncRNA from 13 species
AUUAGAAAGCAAGGCGGCACCUGGCAUAUGAGCCUCCAUUCCGGGGCCCAUUGUACUCCUGACCUACCCCACCCACUUCCCCAUGGCAUGCUUUUCUCAUGCAUCUCUCAUGCCCCAUCUGUUCUAAACAAGCCUCCACCUCUAUCACCACCUCCUCCCAUGGCUGCAAGCAGUUGCCACAUGGCAGAUAUCACAUGUGCCACUCAUCACAGCCUCUUCUCACACACUAGCAGGAUGAUUAGAUGCCUUUCAACAAGGCCCUGGAAUAGGUUUAUUAAGAGCUGUCAUUCCACUUUUCUAAGCCAAUUUGUCUGUAUCAGUUGUUGUCAACCAUUAGAGCCUUGCAGACUCACGGAGAGGUAUCUGAGUCAGAAAACAUUUGGCAUAUGUGUCUGCCUUCAGCUCCUCCUGACUGAGACCACUGGACCUUCCAGCUGCCAAAUCCUACUCCUUGAAGGACCUCAAAGCUCCACCUGUGCUGUCCAAAUUCCCAGAUUAGGAACAGCACAAAGGCCAAAUCGCUGAAAAGAGAAGUGCUGAAUGAAAAUCAGGGAUGGGAUUUCACCAUGUUAACCAGGAUGGUCUCAAGCUCCUGACCUUGUGAUCUGCCUGCCUCAGUCUCCCAAAGUGCUGGGAUUACAGGUGUGAGCCACUGUGCCCAGCCAGUUUUACGUUUAUAGCCAUAGUUAAAACUUCAGUCUCACUUUUAUAAUCCUAUUGUAUACAGUUUCUUUGUUGUCUCUUCUCUUUCCUUAUUGUCUUUUGUUAUAUAGACUAUAUUUGGCUUGUUCAUUUUCAUGCCCACUAUUUCUGAAGUUAUAUAACUUGUUAUUAUGAUGAUUUCUUUGAAAUUUUUCAAAAACAUUUUCCAAAUCUGUUUGGAAAUGAACAGGACCUAUGUUGAUGUACCCCUGAGGCAAGAGUUUGGCAUCAUUUUAACUUGCUUUACUUUUGCCCUUUCACCUUUGCAGUUUUUGUUAAUAUAAUUUUGUUACUAUGAUGUGAUGUAAUCUAUUAAUAAAGCUACAGCUACUUUAAUAGUUUCA